rnacentral:rRNA from 1 species
UACAGAGGGUGCAAGCGUUGUUCGGAAUUAUUGGGCGUAAAGGGCGCGUAGGCGGUGCUGUAAGUCUGUGGUGAAAUCUCUGGGCUCAACUCAGAGUCUGCCAUAGAAACUGCAGUGCUGGAGUGUGGGAGAGGUGAGUGGAAUUCCCGGUGUAGCGGUGAAAUGCGUAGAUACUGGGAGGAACACCAGUGGCGAAGGCGGCUACCUGGACCGGUUCUGACGCUGAGGCGCGAAAGCGUGGGUAGCAAACAGG